rnacentral:rRNA from 1 species
UAGGCGGUUUGUUGCGUCGGCUGUGAAAUCCCGAGGCUCAACCUCGGGUCUGCAGUCGAUACGAGCAAACUAGAGUGUUGCAGGGGAGACUGGAAUUCCUGGUGUAGCGGUGAAAUGCGCAGAUAUCAGGAGGAACACCGGUGGCGAAGGCGGGUCUCUGGGCAACAACUGACGCUGAGGAGCGAAAGCGUGGGGAGCGAACAGGAUUAGAUACCCUGGUAGUCCACGCCGUAAACGUUGGGCGCUAGGUGUGGGGCUCAUUCCACGAGUUCCGUGCCGCAGCUAACGCAUUAAGCGCCCCGCCUGGGGAGUACGGCCGCAAGGCUAAAACUCAGAGGAAUUGACGGGGGCCCGCACAAGCGGCGGAGCAUGUUGCUUAAUUCGAUGCAACGCGAAGAACCUUACCUAGGCUUGACAUGCACGGAAAUCCUCCAGAGAUGGUGGGUCCGUAAGGGCCGUGCACAGGUGGUGCAUGGUUGUCGUCAGCUCGUGUCGUGAGAUGUUGGGUUAAGUCCCGCAACGAGCGCAACCCUCGUUCUAUGUUGCCAGCACGUCAUGGUGGGGACUCAUAGGAGACUGCCGGGGUCAACUCGGAGGAAGGUGGGGAUGACGUCAAAUCAUCAUGCCCCUUAUGUCUAGGGCUGCAAACAUGCUACAAUGGCCGGUACAAAGGGCUGCGAUACCGCGAGGUGGAGCGAAUCCCAAAAAGCCGGUCUCAGUUCGGAUUGGGGUCUGCAACUCGACCCCAUGAAGUUGGAGUCGCUA